rnacentral:rRNA from 1 species
CCUACGGGUGGCAGCAGUGGGGGAUAUUGCACAAUGGGGGAAACCCUGAUGCAGCGACGCCGCGUGUGGGAAGACGGUCCUCUGGAUUGUAAACCACUGUCCCCAGGGACGAAGAUGACGGUACCUGGGGAGGAAGCUCCGGCUAACUACGUGCCAGCAGCCGCGGUAAUACGUAGGGAGCGAGCGUUGUCCGGAAUUACUGGGUGAAAAGGGAGCGUAGGCGGGACUGCAAGUUGGGUGUCAAAUCUACCGGCUCAACCGGUAGCCGCACUCAAAACUGCAGUUCUUGAGUGAAGUAGAGGCAGGCGGAAUUCCUAGUGUAGCGGUGAAAUGCGUAGAGAUGAGGAGGAACACCAGUGGCGAAGGCGGCCUGCUGGGCUUUUACUGACGCUGAGGCUCGAAAGUGUGGGGAGCAAACAGGAUUAGAUACCCGAGUAGUC